CUGGUUUUUGCUGGACCAUCAAUUACGAUAAUGAUAGGAGAAGGAAUCCUCUACUGUUGCCUGUCCAAAAGAAGAAAUGGGAUUGGAACAGAGGCCAAUAUUAAUGCAGGAGGAUGCAACUUCAAUUCUUUUCUUAGAAGAGCUGUCAGAUUUGUUGGUGUUCAUGUGUUUGGUCUUUGUUCUACUGCUCUUGUUACUGAUAUUAUACAGCUAUCAACAGGAUAUCAGGCACCAUAUUUCCUGACUGUUUGCAAGCCUAACUACACAUCCUUAAAUGUAUCCUGCUCAGAGAAUUCUUAUGUUGUGGAAGAUAUUUGCUCAGGAGCUGAUCUCAAUAUUAUCAAUGCUGGAAG